rnacentral:sRNA from 1 species
AGCUGAUGCACCUUUGGCGGCCUACUCCUCCCAGUGCCGCCGCAUGAGCUGUUCCCCUCUGGAGGUUUUUUGACCUUCAUACCUAUUGGGCCCGAGAGCAAUCUCGCGGCCCAUUUUU